rnacentral:rRNA from 1 species
UGGAUCAGUGGCGAACGGGUGAGUAACACGUGAGCAACCUGCCCUCCACUUCGGGAUAAGCCUUGGAAACGGGGUCUAAUACCGGAUAUGAGCACUCAUCGCAUGGUGGGUGUUGGAAAGUUUUUCGGUGGGGGAUGGGCUCGCGGCCUAUCAGCUUGUUGGUGGGGUGAUGGCCUACCAAGGCGUCGACGGGUAGCCGGCCUGAGAGGGCGACCGGCCACACUGGGACUGAGACACGGCCCAGACUCCUACGGGAGGCAGCAGUGGGGAAUAUUGCACAAUGGGCGCAAGCCUGAUGCAGCGACGCCGCGUGAGGGAUGACGGCCUUCGGGUUGUAAACCUCUUUCAGCAGGGAAGAAGCGCAAGUGACGGUACCUGCAGAAGAAGCGCCGGCUAACUACGUGCCAGCAGCCGCGGUAAUACGUAGGGCGCAAGCGUUGUCCGGAAUUAUUGGGCGUAAAGAGCUCGUAGGCGGUCUGUCGCGUCUGGUGUGAAAUCCCGAGGCUCAACCUCGGGCUUGCAUCGGGUACGGGCAGACUAGAGUGCGGUAGGGGAGACUGGAAUUCCUGGUGUAGCGGUGGAAUGCGCAGAUAUCAGGAGGAACACCGAUGGCGAAGGCAGGUCUCUGGGCCGCAACUGACGCUGAGGAGCGAAAGCAUGGGGAGCGAACAGGAUUAGAUACCCUGGUAGUCCAUGCCGUAAACGUUGGGCACUAGGUGUGGGGCUCAUUCCACGAGUUCCGUGCCGCAGCUAACGCAUU